GCUCCCGUGGUGUAGUCCGGUCUGAAGAAAAUCUACUAUAUGUGGUUGUUCUUUGGGGAUAACCAAUCAUUUCGGAUUUUCGAUCCGAAGACCUGGGUUCAAAUUGGUGAAAGAUAAACUCUUAACCAUGCGCGUCCCGGCGGGAGCA
rnacentral:tRNA from 1 species